UCCGAGUUGACCCCGGCAGUCUCCCAUGAGUCCCCGGCAUUACCCGCUGGCAACAUGGAACGAGGGUUGCGCUCGUUGCGGCACUUAAGCCAACACCUCACGGCACGAGCUGACGACAGCCAUGCAGCACCUGUGCUAGCCCCUUACGGACACCGGCUUUCACCGGCUUUAACUAGCAUGUCAAGCCUAGGUAAGGUUCUUCGCGUUGCGUCGAAUUAAACCACAUGCUCCGCUGCUUGUGCGGGUCCCCGUCAAUUCCUUUGAGUUUUAGCCUUGCGGCCGUACUCCCCAGGCGGGGCGCUUAAUGCGUUAGCUACGGCACGGAACCCAUGGAAUAGGUCCCACACCUAGCGCCCAACGUUUACGGUGUGGACUAC
rnacentral:misc_RNA from 1 species